CUGAAAACACUCCCUGGGACUUCUCCCACAGUGCCCGGGCAUCCUUGGCACAUGCAGUCAUCAUGAUGGCACUUUAAGUGGAGGCUGAAUCAUCUCUCCUUUGAGCUGCACAGAACAUGGCUCCCCUGGUGUUCCCAUUUUACCUCCGGGACACUGAGAUUUGGAGCG
rnacentral:lncRNA from 1 species